AUAACUCUUGAUUGUUCUGCAGCGUCAGAUGAUGAGGAAGAAUGUUUAACUAAUCUUCCUGCCUCAAGUUUUGUCGCUUCUUUCAUUACCUGUUCGAAGCCAGAAGCUGCUAUACUUUGUGGCCGUAUGUGUCCCUGGGUAAGACAUCCAGCGGGAAUUGCUCUAACUCAAGGAUCACUGAUAAGUUAUUUUAUGAUUCCGAUGACGGAGAUCCGAAUUUAGUUGCUGAAGGUUUCCACGUUCGACUGCACCAGCCUUGAUGACGUCAUCACGAGAUUGGAUC